rnacentral:rRNA from 1 species
GACGUAGGGGGCAAGCGUUGUUCGGAAUUAUUGGGCGUAAAGCGCUCGUAGGCGGGACAGGAAGUUCGUGUUGAAAGACCUCGGCUCAACUGAGGGACCGGCUCGAAUACUCUUGUUCUUGAGGCAAUCAGAGGGUGAUGGAAUUCCUGGUGUAGCGGUGAAAUGCGCAGAUAUCAGGAAGAACACCCGUGGCUAAGGCGGCUCUCUAGUACGGUACUGACGCUGAGACGCGAAAGCGUGGGGAGCGAACAGG